rnacentral:lncRNA from 1 species
CAAGACAGAGUUUCUCAGGGCAGCGCUGGCUGUCCUGGAACUCACUCUGUAGACCAGGCUGGCUUCACACUCAUAGCUCACCUGCCUCUGCCUCCCGAGUGAUGCCACCAGCAGCAAGCCCGAGUGUCCCUUUGUGUGCUCACCUUUGACUACCUUUGGCACCGGGCAGGGAAGCUUUUCCACACGAGCCGUACAUACAGAAGAGACCAGAGCUUGCUUUCUUGAGUGCUCACACAGAUGUGUGUGUGUGUAUGUGGGUGUGCUAGGUGAACCGUACAGAUGUGGGUGUGCUAGGUGAACUGUACAGAUGUGGGUGUGCUAGGUGAACCGUACAGAUGUGGGUGUGCUAAGUGAACCGUACAGAUGUGGGUGUGCUAGGUGAACCGUACAGAUGUGGGUGUGCUAGGUGAACCGUACAGAUGUGGGUGUGCUAGGUGAACCGUACAGAUGUGGGUGUGCUAGGUGAACCGUACAGAUGUGGGUGUGCUAGGUGAACCGUACAGAUGUGGGUGUGCUAGGUGAACCGUACAGAUGUGGGUGUGCUAGGUGAACCGUACAGAUGUGGGUGUGCUAGGUGAACUGUACAGAUGUGGGUGUGCUAGGUGAACCGUACAGAUGUGGGUGUGCUAAGUGAACCAUACAGAUGUGGGUGUGCUAGGUGAACUGUACAGAUGUGGGUGUGCUAAGUGAACCAUACAGAUGUGGGUGUGCUAGGUGACCUCAGGGCAGGCGUGAGCGCUUACCGGUUAUAGCGCAUGUGCU